GAUGAACGCUAGCGGGAGGCCUAACACAUGCAAGCCGAGCGGUAUUGUUUCUUCGGAAAUGAGAGAGCGGCGUACGGGUGCGGAACACGUGUGCAACCUGCCUUUAUCUGGGGGAUAGCCUUUCGAAAGGAAGAUUAAUACUCCAUAAUAUAUUGAUUGGCAUCAAUUAAUAUUGAAAGCUCCGGCGGAUAGAGAUGGGCACGCGCAAGAUUAGCUAGUUGGUGAGGUAACGGCUCACCAAGGCGAUGAUAUUUAGGGGGCCUGAGAGGGUGAUCCCGCACACUGGUACUGAGACACGGACCAGACUCCUACGGGAGGCAGCAGUGGGGAAUAUUGGUCAAUGGGUGCAAGCCUGAACCAGCCAUCCCGCGUGAAGAACGACUGCCCUAUGGGUUGUAAACUUCUUUUGUAUAGGGAUAAACCUACCCUCGUGAGGGUAGCUGGAGGUACUAUACGAAUAAGCACCGGCUAACUCCGUGCCAGCAGCCGCGGUAAUAC
rnacentral:rRNA from 1 species